ACCAGCUGCGCGUCAUCACCGCCCAGAUCAAAUGUUAUCUGCUAUUUGUUACUUGCUGGUGCUUUAAAGCUAUAUCAGACACAGGCAUUGUUAAAUACACUGAAUACGACAGUACAUUCAUUCUUUAUAGAAUCGUCUUCGAAGAAGUCUGGAAGACGAAAAGUGAAGCUGAACAUCCCUUGAGAUUGGAAGACGACCGAUCGAAGCCUACUCUGUCUGUCAGCCCUGCAUCUAGUGGAAGGAAAAUGAUCGCUGAAUUCCUGUUUCUCGCAUUCAUAUGUCCAGUAUUUUACAUACUGUACAAAGUGGAAUCUAGCGCUCAGAGGAAAACUGGAUUCCCCGUUCUGGCUAGACUUAGUCUUUGGGUUGUAGGUCUGGCCAUCUUCUGCAUGGCCGCUUGUUCGUACUACAAAUGGACGAGGUUCUGCAAUGGAUUGGGGCAAUUCUGGCAACUCUCUUCAAGUUUGAAAUUUGACGUUCUGCCCAGUGGAAUGGAGAGCGUACUCUCCUUGAGACUGACCUCUGGCGAGAAAAAAUUCAGUCAUUAAUUUACGAAAAGAAAAAACUGGAUGUUUCUUAGAUAUUGACCCCCAAGGGUUUUCGCUGGUCGUUAUGCAGGGCUAAUAUUUUUGAGGGUCAUUUUCUUUUGUUUGUGUUUUUACGGUCAUACCCAACGAACUUGUACUAAACACGCCGCAAAGGUGGAUACAAUACCGGAUGAAAACCCAUUGGGGUCACUAUCUAGGAAGACACCAUUGCAGAAUCCAACAGGUGCUUAUAGUGCAUAUUACAGAGGAGGAUUUUCUGCCUCACUGACCAUCAGUGGAUUAAAUGUUAUAGCCUCUGGGAUGCCAAAAACUGGUUUAAAAAAAAUAAAAUAUAAACUGCCA